AAUCCUUUAACGAGGAUCUAUUGGAGGGCAAGUCUGGUGCCAGCAGCCGCGGUAAUUCCAGCUCCAAUAGCGUAUAUUAAAGUUGUUGCGGUUAAAACGCUCGUAGUUGGAUCUGCGGCCUUGGAGAACGGUCCCCCGAAAGGGUGGUCACUGUCUCUCCUAGCCUGAAUUCCAGUCGUCUCUAUGUGCUCUUUACUGAGUGCCUAGAGUGACUAGAACGUUUACUUUGAAAAAAUUAGAGUGCUCAAAGCAGGCGAAAUAGCCUGAAUAAGGUGCAUGGAAUAAUGGAAUAGGACCUCGGUUCUAUUUUGUUGGUUUUCGGAACCUGAGGUAAUGAUUAAGAGGAACAGACGGGGGCAUUCGUAUUCCGGCGCUAGAGGUGAAAUUCUUGGACCGCCGGAAGACGAACAACUGCGAAAGCAUUUGCCAAGAAUGUUUUCAUUAAUCAAGAACGAAAGUUAGAGGUUCGAAGGCGAUCAGAUACCGCCCUAGUUCUAACCGUAAACGAUGACAACCAGCGAUUAAUCGGCGUUAAUAUAUGACCCGAUUAGCAGCUUCCGGGAAACCAAAGUUUUUCGUUUCCGGGGGAAGUAUGGUUGCAAAGCUGAAACUUAAAGGAAUUGACGGAGGGGCACCACCAGGAGUGGAGCCUGCGGCUUAAUUUGACCCAACACGGGAAAACUCACCCGGCCCGGACACUGUAAGGAUUGACAGACUGAGAGCUCUUUCUUAAUUCGGUGGGUGGUGGUGCAUGGCCGUUCUUAGUUGGUGGAGCGAUUUGUCUGGUUAAUUCCGAUAACGAACGAGACUCUGGCCUAUUAAAUAGACGAUAUAUCAAAAAGUAUGUCGUACUUCUUAGAGGGACAAGCGGCGUCUAGCCGCAUGAAAUAGAGCAAUAACAGGCCUGUGAUGCCCUUAGAUGUCCGGGGCUGCACGCGCGCUACACUGAAAGAAUCAGUGAGCGAUUCACCUAGUUCGGAAGAACCGGGUAACCCAAGUAAAUUCUUUCGUGCUUGGGAUAGGGAAUUCAAUUAUUUCCCUUAAACGAGGAAUUCCCAGUAAAUGCGGGUCAUAAGCUCGCGUUGAUUACGUCCCUGCCCUUUGUACACACCGCCCGUCGCUACUACCGAUUGGAUGACUUAGUGAGGUCUUAGGACCGGGGUAAUGGUGCUUUCGCGAGUGCUUUUGCUCUGGAAAUUUGAUCGAACUACGUUAUCUAGAGGAAGUAAAAGUCGU
rnacentral:rRNA from 1 species